UACAGAGGGUGCAAGCGUUAAUCGGAUUUACUGGGCGUAAAGCGUGCGUAGGCGGUCAGAUAAGUCGGAUGUGAAAUCCCUGGGCUCAACCUGGGAACUGCAUUCGAUACUGUCUGUCUAGAAUUCGGUAGAGGGUGGCGGAACUCCGGGUGUAGCGGUGAAAUGCGUAGAUAUCCGGAAGAACACCGAUGGCGAAGGCAACCACCUGGGCCUGAAUUGACGCUGAGGCACGAAAGCGUGGGGAGCAAACAGG
rnacentral:rRNA from 1 species